UGGUUCUUAGCCACCACUCUUCCAUUCUGUGUCUGAAGAACACUUGUCAUAACAUGAAUGUAUAUAUUCAAAUUAUUCUUCAUUAAAGUAAGUAAAUUCACACUCAAGUUAAUGUAAAAUAUUAAGAAAUCAUUUCACAUACAGCCAAAUUGUAAAUGAAAAAAAUAAUGAACUGAAAUCCGAUGAAAAAGGUAGGAAGCCAAAUGAAGACUUAAAAUCUAAAAAUCAAAUGGGUUAAUUCAGGGGAUGCUUUCUGGGUUUGCAGUUUCUUUAAGAUGGUCAUGUGAUUGAAAGAAGACUGGUCUGUACUGAGACAAGGCCAAGUGUGCAGCCCUACACACUUUUACUCAAAGGGUGAGCUGAGUGUCAGGGAAACAGGUAUCUUGAUAAUAAAAGAAACUCACUGUCCUUAAGUAGCUUUCACAUGCAU
rnacentral:lncRNA from 1 species